UAGGUAGGUGGUCUCAUUUGUCUGGGGUGAAAGCCUUGAGCUUAACUCGAGAAGUGCCCCAGAAACGGUGAGACUAGAGUCCUGGAGAGGGUCGUGGAAUUCCCGGUGUAGCGGUGAAAUGCGUAGAGAUCGGGAGGAACACCAGAGGCGAAGGCGGCGACCUGGACAGGCACUGACACUCAACUACGAAAGCGUGGGGAGCAAACA
rnacentral:rRNA from 1 species